rnacentral:lncRNA from 1 species
AAAAGUUUUCCCCAUUUCCCCCUUAUUUCCUCUCUCUUCUUUCCCUCUCCUUCUUCUCUCUUCUCUCUCUCUUCACUCUCUCUACGCCGCCUCAGCUCCGCCCACCGCCGCCUGCCGGAAAUCGCCGCCGCCGGCGGACCACCUCCAAACACCUCCAAAUUCACACCACGUAAUCUCCACAACUUCCUCUUUCCAUAUCUCCAAACCAAAUCCUAAAAAAAUCCCUCAAACUCCUUAAAUCUUAGAUCUAGGAAACUUUUCCUUCAUUUUUUUGCUCAAAUUCUUGAAGCUCCAACCACUACCACCCCAAAAUACCUACAUCAAUGGAUAUAGCUCCUCAAAACCUAGCUAUUGAUGUCAAUUCUACCCCAAAAAUCGGGUGACCAAAAUCCGGCCUAAUUCCGGCGACCUCUCGGAACACCCUCUUUGGCAUACCACCAUUUUUUCGGCCUUUUGAUGUGUAAAAUGGUAAAAUACUAUUCUUUUUCAUGGCUGAUUUUUUUAUUUUUAUUUUUAAUUUUUAGAUUUUAUUUUUGUCUAUUAUUAAUUAUUUUAGCAUUAGUUUUUGAAGAUUGAAAUAUUAAAUUUUCUAUUUUUGCACUUGUUGAAGUAGUAAAAUAGUUUUGUAUUGAUAAAAGUGAGGUAAUGAAAAAUACUUAAGAGUAUAUGGUACUUGUUUGGUUGUUUGUUUACUGCUUCAAGACUCUUUGAGUACAACACUCAAAAGUCAAAUUGUUUGGUAAGAAAAUGUAGACCUUUGGACAUUAUUUGAAUAAAGUCUAUCUUUGAAUAGUGGAGAGCAGAUUUUGUUUGAAAUACUUGACAAGAUUUGAACUAGAAAGUCUUGCUUUUUGAAUUUAAGAGCAGAUUUUGCAGAAAAAUUUGUCAAAAAGAUUGAUUUUUAAUUUUUUGAAAUAGCUGGUUGUUUUGAUAUAUAGAGGGGACUUCAUCACACUUCCUCG